rnacentral:tRNA from 1 species
AGCCUUAUGGUGUAAACAUAUCAGAUUGCAAACCUGAAGAUGCAGAAUAGUCUUCUGCUUAGGCUU